CACAAGAGUGGCCUGGACAUGACCACCCUCACCAUUAUGAGAUAUCUGCCCAGAGAGGUGGACCCCUUGGUGUACAACAUGUCCCAUGAAGACCCAGGCAGCAUCUCCUACUCAGAGAUCGGUGGCUUGGCCGAGCAGAUCCGUGAACUGAGAGAGGUGAUUGAGCUGCCCUGACCAACCCUGAGCUAUUCCUGAGGGUGGGGAUUAUCCCUCCAAAGGGCUGCCUGCUCUACGGACCUCCAGGCACCGGAAAGACUCUUCUGGCCAGAGCGGUGGCCAGUCAGAUGGACUGUAACUUCCUCAAGGUUGUGUCCGC